AUGUCUCUAUUGCCGUUCUUUCAAAGGAAAUUUCUGGAAACACCUCCAGGGAAAAGGUAUAUACUUUUGUGCAUGUGUGUGUUAAAUUUUACUAUUUUGAAUGGAAAUUUUUACUCCAGCCACAGGGUAAAAACAGCAGCACUGGGAGUCCAAAUGCUGUGGGUGUCUGAAGAGUCCGUGAGCACUGGGGUGAAGGUGCUGGGGUCGCUGUACUUCUGCUUUUCAGAGUCCAGACCAAUCCUCCAAGCUCAGAAACCAUCUAUGGUUUAUAACACCUGCCCUGCAGUCUCCCUGCCAAGAAGUAUGACACAGAUUCUCUCCUCUAAAAUGAAGUUUCCAGACCUCAAGGACUGGAUAUUGCAUCAUCAUUCUCUCGUGAAAGCCUCAAGAUCUGCUAUGUGGAAAAAAAGACAUCUGUUUGGGAUCAGUCGGUGGGACAGUAAGAAGACAAUCUGAAGAAAGACACGAAAGGUCAGAGGUUUUCCAAAGAGGGGGAUAUAUGGGAUGGCUGAUAACAACAAAUUGCCCCAACAAGUCAUUUUUAUUAAUCUCAGCCUGCAGUUACUGGGAGGCUUUUCUUUUAGAAAGAAAAGCUCCCGCUCUCCACGGCCUAUGAUGGAUUGAUGUGAAGGAUGGGCUGCUCCCCGCCACCCUUUGAGCCAUGUGUGAAGCAAACAGGGACCCCAUGGAGGUUUAUCACAACUGAAGCCAGGGAAAUAAGCAAAAUAAGACCCAAAGCUUAGACAAAGCAGAAGAGAGAAAACAACACACAUGGAAAAUGAAGACCCAAAGAAGAUCACUACAUUUGUGUUUCUCAUUUACCUCUAUGGCCAUGCUUGGAGUUCAGGUACAGCUUUAACAAUUAAGAGACUAAAUAUCCACACACAAAAGAUUAGAUUUAGUCAGUCACGUGUUUUCUGGUUUCUGACCUUUUGUUUCUCAUUUUAAUUGCAUUUUCUAGUUCUGCAGACAAAUUGAAAAGGUCGUGAGUGGAGGCUGCUGCUCUGCUCACCAUGGGGUCCAUGGCAGGUCUUGAGGGGGAGCAGCUACAGGGUGGUGCUGGGUUCUUCAGGCAGUUUAAAGAAAAAAGAAGGAACAUACAGGCUUGGAAUGAAUUUAUCAAAAUUGCAUCAGUUAACGUAUAGGAAAAAAAUGUAAAUGCUAUGGAUAAAUUAAACUCAGAUGGAUUAUGGAUUAUUUCACAUUGCAGUGUAACUAUCUCCUUGGGUUUUCAGAUUGUUCCUGUGCAAGUUUCUGAAUCCAUUGGCUAAAUUUCAAUCAGAUCUUACAGAGCAGGGAAGAGGUUUCAAAGGUAAUUACAUUCUUACAAAAUGUGAAAAAAAUAGGCAACUCAAUAAGAAAAAGGUAGUGUAUCCCAACAGAGAGAAAAAUCAUUGUGUGAGCUCGAAGUCUAGCAGGCACCAGAGAACUCGAUGAGAGCAAAUGCCUUUAUAGACAUACAAAUUCCAGACAAAGCUUUUGGUUGCAGCUAGGAUCUGCAACCUGUCACGAGACAUAAACCUGCUCCAUCUGCUCCCCUGCUCAGGGAUCACGCAUUGUCGAGGGAGAGGUGUGCUCGUCUUGCUCCUGACACAGGGUUGGGGGAGUCCCUUCUCACCCACAAAUGCAGAUGGAGCAUCUCUAAUUACCCCAGCCCAAAGUAACACCUGCAUCAAGCUGUACUGAGCAGGAGACAGCACCUGCAAGGCAGGAGGAACACAAGAGGAGGCCGUCACCCUACUCGAGUGCUCUACAGACUUGGUGCUGGAGAGCUGUUGGCCCUAGUCUACUUUCUGCAAGAGCCUGGAGUGGUGUUUUCUAUUAUUCAGAACAAAGAGAGUAGAUGAAUGCAAUCAACACUGGAAGAUUGAUCUGGCAGUGUAAGUUAUUUAUUCUUGGUCUAUAACUACAUUGAGCACUGAAGAUUCAUACUACUCUGCUCAUUUCAAUGCAGUUUUUUUUUUUUUCAAACAGUCAUUUCUGGGACCUUUUCCCCAAUACCCCCUGAGAAAAUUCAAGAGUUUCAAAACGCAUCUGGAAAAGGGACUUCACGCAGGAAUUUUCUGGGUAGUUCAAAUUACCUUAGCUUGGGUUGCAAUGAUUUUGUUAGAAAUAAACCCAAAAAUUCAAGGCA
rnacentral:lncRNA from 1 species